rnacentral:lncRNA from 1 species
AUACGGAAGAAAUGGUACUAGACUUUAGUGCCUUAGUCACACUUUUGUCGUUUUUCUUCAGUAUUCUUUAAAACCUUUACAAGAUUAUUGAUAUGCAGGAGAAAGAUGUUUUCUUAAGGAAACAUCUUAUGACGUUACUUAUUAAUAAUUGUUGUACCGAAUUCAUAAUUGCCAGGUCAUGGUGCUGAUUAUGCACUACUGCAAGCAAGAAAUGAAAAUUAAAUAAUUGUCAAUUGCACAAUUUUUGACAGUAAAGAGCACCCUAAUUUCUUUCAAAUUUUUGAAUCAUUUUAAUCAAUUUCACCUUAUUGAUAUUAUCAUGAAUAUUCAAAAAUAAUAUAUUUACUGAUACAUAUCAAAUGUCGUACUUCAGUACAACUUUCUUCUUUUCACCGUAUCAUUUAAGAGAUAUCUCAUCGAGUCUGCCCAACAAUAAAUAACAGCAGUAAUUUGUUAUGCUACCAGUGUUUUUUCUAC